AUGUAUGGAGAACCAGUUUGGAGAAAUAAACACCGUACAUGGAAACGGUUUCGUGAUCUACAAGCCAAGAGUUCCCUGCCUUGGGUGGUCAUAGGGGAUUUGAAUGAAAUUUUGUACUCUUCAGAGAAAGAGGGAGGGAAUGCAAGACCCUUGCCAUAUAUUACGGUGUUUAGGGAAUGCUUGUCCGAUUGCUUGCUGGAAGAUCUUGGUUAUAUUGGUAACAGAUUCACCUGGAAGAGAGGGGGGACAAGAGAAAGACUAGACAGAGCAGUUGGGAAUGAGGGAUGGUCCAGUAUGUUCCCAGAUGCUGGUGUUCAUCACUUGGCGAUGGAUGGCUCUGACCAUCGACCAAUUAUGAUUGAUACAACCACAUAUACGACUCCUUCUGUUGGGAGGGGACGACGAAGGAGAAGGUUUGAGGCAAAAUGGCUCAGGGAGGAGGCAGUGGGAGACAUGGUGGCAGCUGCGUGGGAUCACUCCCCACCAAACACGUCACUCAUGGCUAAGCUCGAAUCAGUUCAUAAUGAGUUGCAUGAGUGGGAUAGAAAUAUUUUGAAGGGGCCGCGCAAGAAAAUUAAAGAUCUGACGCGCGAACUCGACCGCAUUCUGGCGGGACCUAUGGACGAGCUUUCUACUCGUCGGCAGCAUGAAAUAACAUUGCAGUUGGAGACAGCGCUGGAACAAGAAGAAGUGUACCACAUGCAGCGGAGUCGGAGUGAUUUCCUGAAAUAUGGAGACCGAAACACUGAAUUCUUUCAUAAGAAUGCGUCAGCUAGAAGGAAGAAAAAUACCAUUCUAAAGCUUAAGGAUGCGAAUGGUGUGGUCAGGGAGGGCAACGAGGAGAUGAAGCCGCUGAUACAAUCUUCUCCAAUCUUUUUACAUCAGAGGUACUUGGUACUGAUGAAACGUUACUCAGUAGAGUCCAACCCAAAGUGA
rnacentral:rRNA from 1 species